rnacentral:rRNA from 1 species
GCGAAACUGCGAAUGGCUCAUUAUAUAAGUUAUCGUUUAUUUGAUAGUACCUUACUACUUGGAUAACCGUGGUAAUUCUAGAGCUAAUACAUGCUAAAAAUCCCGACUUCGGAAGGGAUGUAUUUAUUAGAUUAAAAACCAAUGCCCUUCGGGGCUCUCUGGUGAUUCAUGAUAACUCCUCGAAUCGCACGGCCUUGUGCCGGCGAUGGUUCAUUCAAAUUUCUUCCCUAUCAACUUUCGAUGUUUGGGUCUUGGCCAAACAUGGUUGCAACGGGUAACGGAGGGUUAGGGCUCGACCCCGGAGAAGGAGCCUGAGAAACGGCUACUACAUCCAAGGAAGGCAGCAGGCGCGCAAAUUACCCAAUCCCGACACGGGGAGGUAGUGACAAUAAAUACUGAUACAGGGCUCUUUUGGGUCUUGUAAUUGGAAUGAGUACAAUUUAAAUCCCUUAACGAGGAACAAUUGGAGGGCAAGUCUGGUGCCAGCAGCCGCGGUAAUUCCAGCUCCAAUAGCGUAUAUUAAAGUUGUUGUGGUUAAAAAGCUCGUAGUUGAACCUUGGGCCUGGCUGGCCGGUCCGCCUCACCGCGUGUACUGGUCCGGCCGGGUCUUUCCCCCUGUGGAACCCCAUGCCCUUCACUGGGUGUGGCGGGAAAACAGGACUUUUACUUUGAAAAAAUUAGAGUGCUCCAGGCAGGCCUAUGCUCGAAUACAUUAGCAUGGAAUAAUAGAAUAGGACGUGUGGUUCUAUUUUGUUGGUUUCUAGGACCGCCGUAAUGAUUAAUAGGGACAGUCGGGGGCAUCAGUAUUCAAUCGUCAGAGGUGAAAUUCUUG